AGUGAACGCUGGCGGUAGGCCUAACACAUGCAAGUCGAACGGCAGCACAGUAAGAGCUUGCUCUUACGGGUGGCGAGUGGCGGACGGGUGAGGAAUACAUCGGAAUCUACUUUUUCGUGGGGGAUAACGUAGGGAAACUUACGCUAAUACCGCAUACGACCUACGGGUGAAAGCAGGGGAUCUUCGGACCUUGCGCGAUUGAAUGAGCCGAUGUCGGAUUAGCUAGUUGGCGGGGUAAAGGCCCACCAAGGCGACGAUCCGUAGCUGGUCUGAGAGGAUGAUCAGCCACACUGGAACUGAGACACGGUCCAGGCUCCUACGGGAGGCAGCAGUGGGGAAUAUUGGACAAUGGGCGCAAGCCUGAUCCAACCAUACCGCGUGGGUGAAGAAGGCCUUCGGGUUGUAAAGCCCUUUUGUUGGGAAAGAAAAGCAGCAGGUUAAUACCCCGCUGUUCUGACGGUACCCAAAGAAUAAGCACCGGCUAACUUCGUG
rnacentral:rRNA from 1 species